UGCAGUCGGACGAGAACCUUGGAGUUCGCUUUGGGGUUCUAGUGGCGGACGAGCGAGUAACACGUGAGCAACCUGCCCGAAAGAGGGGGAUAGCCCGGGGAAACUCGGAUUAAUACCGCGUAUGGUCUAGCAGGACAUCCUGCAAUGAUUAAAGGCGCCUUCGGGUGCCGCUUUCGGAUGGGCUCGCGGCCUAUCAACUAGUUGGUGAGGUAAUGGCUCACCAAGGUUACGACGGGUAACUGAUCUGAGAGGAUGAUCAGUCGCGCUGGAACUGAGACACGGUCCAGACACCUACGGGUGGCAGCAGUCGAGAAUCAUUCACAAUGGGCGAAAGCCUGAUGGUGCGACGCCGCGUGGAGGAUGACGGUCCUAGGACUGUAAACUCCUGUCAUCAGGGAGUAAAGCACAGGCGUUAAUAGCGUCUUGUGCCUGAUAGUACCUGAAGAGGAAGGGGCGGCUAACUCCGUGCCAGCAGCCGCGGUAACACGGAGGCCCCGAGCGUUGUUCGGAUUUACUGGGCGUAAAGCGUAUGUAGGCGGUUGGGUAAGUCAGAUGUGAAAUCCCGGGGCUCAACCUCGGAACUGCAUCCGAUACUGCCUGACUGGAGGGUUGGAGAGGAGACUGGAAUUCAUGGUGUAGCAGUGAAAUGCGUGGAUAUCAUGAGGAAGACCAAUGGCGAAGGCAGGUCUCUGGACAACUCCUGACGCUGAGAUACGAAGGCCAGGGUAGCGAAAAGGAUUAGAUACCCUUGUAGUCCUGGCAGUAAACGGUGUGCGCUUGGUGUGGGGAGAUUCGACCCCCUCCGUGCCGGAGCUAACGCGUUAAGCGCACCGCCUGGGGAGUACGGUCGCAAGAUUAAACUCAAAGAAAUUGACGGGGACCCGCACAAGCGGUGGAGUAUGUGGCUUAAUUUCGAUGCACGCG
rnacentral:rRNA from 1 species